rnacentral:tRNA from 1 species
GGCGCGCAUGGCGGCUGGCGCAUCGCCGCACCGCCGCUGACGCUGGAGAUCGACGUCGCGCGGCGGUGGUUCGAGACGAUCGCGUUCCGC